GCUGAAUAAAUAUACUGCAUGGAGCCUGUAGCACGGCAGGUACCAGGCUAGUAGGAACCGGAGGAAGUAACCUGUGACUCUAGUUUCCUCUUAACAUUUCCUUGGAUGGGGGGGGGGAGAGAAAAUGUGCUCAGUCUUCUUUGCUUUGUCUGCUGAAACCCACGUUUUUGGAGUAAGUGAUCCUAGCGUCGUUUCCUUUUGGGAACUGGUGCAGUCCUCUGCUGCAUGUCCUAAGGUGGGGGUCAAAAUGCUGAUAUUUGAUUCUGUUCUUAUCCACACAGGAAGAACUGUGUUCACACAACUAGGAAGAAGCACAGACUGUUGAAUGCAUCUGGAGCACGGCUGCCAUGUGCUUCUCUUGGACGCCAGCGGCUACAGAGCUGCAGGUGUUUUCCUGGAGACACAAAAGUUAACAAGGAUAGAGGUGUUGGCCAACAGCCAGAAGGAUAAAAUUGCCCAGAAGAGAAAGAUGAGGAACUACAAGAGUCGUCCCAUGCUGAGUUUUUGUACCUUUGUGGCUCUCGAAGCAAACACAUAGAUCUCCCCUUGGCAGAUGGACUGAUCCCAUUUCUACCCUUUCACAUCCAGGUACUGGGUUUGGGGUUGGGUAGUUUGAAACAUUUAUAACACUAGUACUUUGACAUUGGC